CAGUAGGGAAUCUUCGGCAAUGGACGAAAGUCUGACCGAGCAACGCCGCGUGAGUGAAGAAGGUUUUCGGAUCGUAAACUCUGUUGUUAGAGAAGAACGACGAGGAGAGUGGAAGCUCCUUGUGUGACGGUAUCUAACCAGAAAGGGACGGCUAACUACGUGCCAC
rnacentral:rRNA from 1 species